rnacentral:lncRNA from 1 species
CUGUCUCCAAGCAUAACUGUGAGAAUUAUCUGGGGAUGGUGUGAAGUGCCUGGCAUGUCGCAGCCUUGAAACAAAUGCCAGUUCUCCCUCCCCCACCCACCACAGGCUGCCAGCAUUCCAGCUGGGGCAGUGUGUCCCAGUACCUUGUCCUUGCCCUCCUCAGGCAGCGCUCACCUGCAGGCAGCCCUGUGGGCUGUCACUCAUCAUCUGCCCUGUGCCCAAGCAUUGUCUCCCUUGCUUUUGCUGACAGUGAUGUCCUGGCUUUGGUCCCAGCCUGUCCUCCUUGGCAGAACACCUGGCAUUUCACUCCACCCUCGCCCCCAACCGGUAAUACCUGUCAGCCCAGCCUUGCCAACAUCCCUAGAUGUGACCUACACCUGCCUAGACCCACAGACUGUUCCCUAGACCCUUUUGGCUGUCCAGGCCAGACCUGUCCCUAGUCCACAUGUCAGUUCCGUGCCCUGUAACACAGCUAGCUACUGGGAGGUUCUGGACCCUGGAAGGUCUCAGGGUUCCCCUGCAGCUUGGGUUGGGUGCAGGGGUAGAUUCAGGGUGGCAGGCUCAGCUCAACCUCACAGAGAGAGUUAUGGCUGAGAGUUAUUUCCUGAGAGUCAGGAAACUUGGCUGAACCCUGGCUAAUGGGCUGUGUGGCUGUGGGCAAUACACUGGCCCUCUCUGGGCCUCAGAUUUUUAACCAAUAAUUGGAGAGAAUCCAUCCCUAAGGCCUGUUCUGGCUCUAAUGGUCUCGGAUUCUAGGAGGAAAGGGCCAGAAGUCUGCAGCAAAGGUCUGUAACCCCCUUCCUCUGUGCCCUGAAAGGGGCAGCAGGAAAGCCUCAUAUCCCAGCGCAGCCCCGCCUCCGCUGUCUUGGCGAGGCACGCACUCACUCCUUGGGAUUUACAAUGGGCUGAAUUCAUUUGCAUAACAAAAUUGGCUCGGGUAUCCAAGUGUUGCAGGAAGACAAGUGUAACAUUACGCAGAACAAGCAGCUGGGAGGAAGGUUACCACCAACAAUGAGGGAACAAGAUGCCCGCCCACCUGCUGCCUCUGCCAACCUUUCAUCCACAGGCAUGGGGGGCUGCCCGGGGGCAGUGUCAGGGGUGGGGGAGAAGAGAUCUGCAGGCAUGGGAGAUGGCUGCCUGCCCAGGGAUCUGGGCUGGGUGGAUGGGUCGGAUGGGAGGGGAACUCCUGCUCCUAGGGUCUUCUCACUGUUAGGGUGAAGAGGUUUCCUUUGCUAUUUCUAAAUGCCUGCACCAUUUAAAUGGUCCCAAAAUUAUCUCCCCACUCUCAGGACUUGAUAACACAAGAACUUAACCACUAACCAUGCACCGGUCCACUCAUCCACUCUCAUCCAUUCACUCGCUCAUCCACACAUCUGCCAUCUAUCCACCUGCCACCAUCCAUCCGCCUGCCACCAUCCAUCCAUCCAUUCAUCCAUUCACUCAUCAAUUUACCCAUCCGCUCAUCUCCCCAUCCAUCUGCCUAUCCAUUCUUUCAUCCUUCCACGCACCUUCCCACUCUCACCCACUCACCUAUACACUCAUCUAUUUACUAAUCCCUCUGCCCACCCAUGUGUCCAUCCAUCUAUCCUUCCAUCCACCCACUCAUCCACUUACUCAUCCACCAGGCCCCUCAUUAAUUCACCCAUCCACCCUUGCAUCCAUCUAACAAAGCCAGAUGUUGGACACGUGUUUGUGCCAGGUACAGCACUGGGGAUUUCUCUGUGCCUCAGCUUCUUCGUCUAUAAAAUAAGGGUAAUAAUGGGAUCUACCUCACAAGCUUGACCAUGGCCCAGACUAAGUGCUGUGUAAGUGUUUUCUGAUGUUAAUCUUAUUAGGCACUGGGGAAUCUAAAGGUAAAUAAAACAGAGUUGCUGCCCUAAAGGAAAUCACACACUUCCUGGGGAAAAAUGCAAGAAAACUGGCAUUAGGGUCCCUCGUGGGAUGUGCUCAUCUGUAGGGAAAUAUUAAGGGUUGCGGGACGGCCAAAGCUUGGGCGUCCUGUCUCAUUCCAGGCUCAUUUGGGAGGUAGGAGGGGACAAGAAGUAUCGUUAUUGAUCUUUGUAUAUUACAGAUGAGGAAACUGAGGCCUAGGAGAGUUAAAGGACCGCCCAAGACCACACCACCGCACAGAGACACCAGGACUGAACGCUUGUGUCUUCUGACUUGCAGCUUCCAGCAGCCUGGAUCAUGCUCUUCUUACCUCAUCUGGGUAGCAAGAGAAGGCUGCUCUAAAGCUACCUUACUCCCAGGUUGCAGGAGCAGAACCAAGACGUUCAGAUCCCUUGAGGAAGAGAAUGGCUCAGCAUGAGGGGGCCUCACCCAGAGCCCUGGGUCUGCUCUGAGCCCCUCACUUAAAGAGGGAAGCUGACCAAAUGAGCAGAACAGAGCAACAGAGCAAGUGGCACCAGAGAGACCACCCACGGAGGGCACUUCGUGAAGAGCGAGGAUUGGCUCUGACCAGUGCUUAUCAGCAGGCACACAGUAGGUGCUCUAUAAGGAUUUGUUGCAUAAAUUAACAAAUGAGCAGUGAAGUAAUGAAGUAGAGAGCAUUUCACUUUGUGUAGAAGACUGAAUUCAGGCACUUCCAGGAGCUUUUCCAAAUGUAAAGCUCUGGGAGCCUGAGAUGACCAGUCUCCUCCCUAGCUGGGCUCCAUUCCUCCCCUGAGAAAUUGGAAGCACCAAUUUGCAUCCUGUGUACAGCAGGCACUCAACGCAUGAUGCCGAUAUUAGUAUCUCCACCCACAUUUUCCCUUGGUCCCAAUUUCACCUCCACUUAUUUAAAUUUUAUUUUACCCUGUUGGGCAUUUUCUGCAAGCUGUCUCCAAU